rnacentral:rRNA from 1 species
GACGAACGCUGGCGGCGCGCCUAACACAUGCAAGUCGAACGAGCGAGAGAGAGCUUGCUUUCUUGAGCGAGUGGCGAACGGGUGAGUAACGCGUGAGGAACCUGCCUCAAAGAGGGGGACAACAGUUGGAAACGACUGCUAAUACCGCAUAAGCCCACGGUGCCGCAUGGCACAGAGGGAAAAGGAGCAAUCCGCUUUGAGAUGGCCUCUCGUCCGAUUAGCUAGUUUGUGAGGUAACGGCGCACCAAGGCGACGAUCGGUAGCCGGACUGAGAGGUUGAACGGAGACAUUGGCACUGAGACACGGCGCAGAAUCCUACGGGAGGCAGCAGUGGGGAAUAUUGCAAAAUGGGGGAAACGCUGAUGCAGCGACGAUGGGUGGAGGAAUAAGGUCUUCGGAUUGUAAACUCAUGUUGUUGGGGAAGAUAAUGACGUUACCCAACAAGGAAGUGACGGCUAACUACGUG